UUUAGCCUCCAGUAUGAUCUGUAGUUCAUAAUUUUGAUCUAUCUACCAGACCCUUAUAAUAUAUCCUUUCUUUUCUGCUUCAGAAUCUUACCACUUGUUUUAUCUGCUGCUGAGACAACCCAAUCCUGCAUGAGUUACAGCUGCCAACUUCACAAAGAAACGAUGGCCUGUUCUGGGACAGCCAGUGUUGCCUGGCCUAUUGUACCGAAGAAUAAAUGAGAGAAAAGGAGAGGAAGAAAGAGGAAGAAAAAAGAGGGAGAGAGAACAGGAAUAUUGCUUCAUUCUAAAAAUGGGUAUUAAUAAUGGCCGAUCAAUAUUUUGUGUAUUUAAAAUGGAGAACUCUAUAAAUAUUUAUUGAGUUUAUUUGCUCCGGAUCUGAGUUGAAGUCCUGGAUAUCCUUAUUAAUUUUCUGUCUCGUUGAGUCUAAAUCUCGUCUUAUGUAUCUGGGUAUUAAGAUCUCUUAUUGUUGCAUUGAUCCUUUUACCACUGUAUCUUUGUUGCUUUGAAAUCUAUUUUAUCAAAUGUGAGAAUUGCAACUCCUACUUUUUGUUUAUUUAUUUAUGUUUGCUCUCCAUUUGGUUGGUAAAUUUUUCUCCAACCCUUUGUUUUGAGUCUUUGUGUAUCUUUGGAUAUACUGUUAAGUUUUGGCUGUAUCUUUUGACUGGGGGAUUUAGUCGAUUUAAAUUUAGGAUUACUGCCAUUUGAUGUUAACUGGCUAUUUUAUCUAUUCGUUGAUGUAAAUUCUUCUUUAUGUUGAUGCUCUUUACUUUUUGGUAUAUUUUUAGAAAGGCUCAUACUGGUUGUUCCUUUCUAUGUUGGUUGCUUCUUUCAGAAGUUCUUGUAAAGCAGGCCUGGUGGUAAUAAAAUCUCUGAGUACUUGCUUGUUCAUAAAAGAUUUUAUUUUUUCUUCAAUUGUGAAGCUUAGUUUGGCAGGAUAUGAGAUCCUAGGCUGAAAGUUCUGUUCUUUAAGUAUGUUGAAUAUCAGCCCCCACUCUCUUCUGGCUUGUAGGGUUUCUGCUGAGAGAUCUGCUGUAAGUCUAAUAGGCUUCCCUUUAUGGGUAACCUGGCCUUUCUCUCUGGCUGCCCUUAGUUAUUUUCUCCUUCAUUUUGAUCCUGGUGAAUCUAACGAUUAUGUGCCUUGGGGUUGCUCUUCUUGAGGAAUAUCUUUGUGGUGUUCUCUGUAUUACCUGGGGUUGAAUAGUGUCCUGCUUUGCUAGAUUGGGAAAAUUUUCCUGGAUAAUAUCCUGAAAAGUAUUUUCCAGCUUGGAUUCAUUCUCUCCAUCACAUUCAGGUACACCAAUCAAACGUAAAUUGGGUCUUUUUACAUAGUCCCAUAUUUCUUGGAGACUUUGCUCAUUCCUUUUCAUCCUUUUUUCUCUAUUCUUGUCUUGUCAUUUUAUUUCAUUAAGUUGGUCUUCGACCUCUGAUAUCCUUUCUUCUGCUUGAUCCAUUCUGCUAUUUAAACUUGUGCAUAUUUCACUAAGUUCUCGUGUUGUAUUUUUCAACUCCGCUAGUUCAUUUAUAUUCCUCUCUAUAUUGUCUAUUCUUUUCAGCAUUUCGUCAAACCUUUUUUCAAAGUUCUUAGUUUCUUUACAUUGGGUUAGAACAAGUUAUUUUAAUUCCCAGAAGUUUCUUAUCAUCCACCUUCUGAAGCCUACUUCAGAUAAUGGCACACAGUCCUUUUCCAUCAGGGCUUGUUCCGUUGCUGAUGAGGAACUGCAAUCCCCUGUAGAGGGAGAGGGGUUCUGAUUUUGGGUAUGCUCAGCCUUCUUAGGCUGGUUUUUUCUCUUUAUUAUAAAUGUAUCCAUCUGUCAUCUUUACAAUUACUGCCUUUCUAAUUAGGUUUCUGAGUCGACGUCCAAUUUAUUGAUUCCCAGUGCUGGGAUUCAAGCAACCCACUGCGCCGGCCAAAAUAGCAGCGAUAAGACUGAUGGUGCUCUUCUGCUUGGGAAUCUGUGGUCUGGCUUCCUUCUUGAGUCCGCAACAAGCGGCUCUGCCUUCCUGGAGCUCCAAACACUGGUCAGUAAGGGAACCAGUCCGUUUACUCUGCAUGAAGAGCUGCUGUGCCAAGGCGCUGGAAAAACUGCUGCACCCGCCACAAGAGUUGCGCUGGCGACCCAUGGGGCUCUCCCACUAGAAAUCUGCUGGUCCGUGAGCAAUGAAAGUUCAUCUGAAAGUGUGGCAUCCUCUCGUUCUCUGAGCUUUCACUGGGAGCUACAAUCCUGAGCUGUUAGUGAUCAGCCAUCUUGGAUCUCUCUCCUCAAACCACCUAUUUCUAAGAGAAUGUAGUUUAUUCUCAUGUGUCCACUGGGAAUGUAGCAGAAAGCAAAACUCAGAGAAUAAUUGUUACGAAAGGUUUUAAAGCUUUAAUUUGUAAUUAUUUUUAUUUUAUUUUAUUAUUUUUUUAUAAUACAGAGGGGUGUCUUGCUAUGUUUCCUAGGCUGGUCUCAAACUCCUGGUAUCAAGUGAUCUUUCCAUCUCAGUGUUCCAAAGUGCUGGGAGUAUGGGCAUUUUGGAAUGUAUUAGUAUCACAAGUUCAAAUUAAAUGAUCAGAUUAAAAUAGAAGUCAAAUAAUUAAAUCAC